GUGCAUAUUCACAGACUGCAAGGUUCAUUUCCAGAGCAUGGAGCACUCGUGGGAUGACUAAGGCACACUGAGGGAGAAAUAUUCAUUCAUUAGUUGCUGUUUGUAAUCCAAGUCGUGUUUAUUUGUUUGUGAUGAUUUUGGUCAUAGAAACAGUAAAACAGAGGCUCUGCUACCAUUCCUUUCUUAAAUCUGUAUUUAAAACCUAUGUAUAUCUUCACAGAUGAGGAUGAAGCUCAGUUACAAAAGAUAGACAUUCUAUUAGCAUGGAAGCUCCCAUAAUGGACUGUGAAUCAUUUCAGAAAGUAUUGCGCCGUUUACGUGUUACACAAUCUCCAACAAAAAGAAGAUGAAAUGAUGCUGCCAACAGUCCUUUGAAAGCCCAAAUGGGAAUUCCAGUGAUAAUUAAGCUAUGGAAAAUGGUACCUUGUUAUGAAAAUGCUGUUCUACAAAAAAAAAAAAAAAAGAGAGAGAGAGAGAAGAACCAACUCUUGAAGCAUCAUAUGUGAAAGAGGAUAAUCUUUCAUCUCCUGAAAUAUGACACAAUACUUCUAAUUUAAAUGACAAUUAUUAAAAUUAACUUGUGAAACCUUUAAGGAAAAGCUCUUACUUAGCUGGCAUAUUUUGGAGAAAAUCCUUGGUUAAUAAUGUAUCUUUUAAUGAAUUUAAAAAAAUGUAAAGUUGCAGACAUUAAAGAUUUACAGGUUUGGGCUUGGAUAUUUUUGGUACUAAUUCUAUCUCCUCAUGACAGCUCUCUUA
ensembl:lncRNA